GACUCGGAAAAGGAGGCGCCAAGCGUCACCGUAAGGUUCUCCGCGAUAACAUCCAGGGAAUCACCAAGCCCGCCAUUCGCCGUCUGGCUCGCCGUGGCGGCAUGAAGCGUAUCUCCGGCCUGAUCUACGAGGAGACCCGCGGUGUCCUGAAGGUGUUCCUUGAGAACGUGAUCCGUGACGCCGUCACCUACACCGAGCACGCCAAGAGGAAGACCGUUACGGCCAUGGACGUGGUCUACGCUCUGAAAACCCUGUACGGUUUCGGUGGUUAAACGCACUCUUUUCGGAACGUCAACAUCCCGACUUGAACCCAAAGGCUCUUUUAAGAGCCACC